GUAUAGAAGUGACACACAGUGUAGCGCCUCAUUACCGAACCAGACAUGGGAGGCAUUGCACAGCUCUGCAUCGUACUGUACUGCUUGGCAGGUGUUUGGGCGGACAUUGUUUUGAAGCAGUCCGAUCCUGAGGUUAGAAAGCCAGGAGGUUCUGUGAAACUGUCCUGUCAAGGCUCCGGGCAAGACAGUGAUGGGGAUACUAUCACUGCUUAUGAGAUGAGCUGGAUUCGACAAGCUCCUGGAAAGGGUCUGGAAUGGGUGGCUUGGAUUGAUACUGCUGGUAGUAGUACAAGCUAUGCCUCGUCUGUCCAGGGAAGAUUCACCAUCUCCAGAGACGAUUCCAACGGCAUGCUGUAUUUACAAAUGAACAGCCUGAAGACUGAAGACUCUGCCCUGUAUUACUGUGCUGUUGCACAGUGAGUUAAUUCAAUGCACUGCUUGUACAGAAACUCUACCCACAGUGGAGUGCUCUACAGCACACUGCACUGAUCAGCAAUACUCUUAGCUGAAUCAUUCUGUUGUUCAUCGUCAAUGCCAUUUAGAUGCAAUUCCAUGUUAUUUACUU